rnacentral:rRNA from 1 species
UACGAAGGGGGGAAGCGUUGUUCGGAAUUACUGGGCGUAAAGGGCGCGUAGGCGGCUUAUCAAGUCAGGCGUGAAAUUCCCGGGCUCAACCUGGGGGCUGCGCUUGAUACUGAUUGGCUUGAAUGCGGGAGAGGAUAGUGGAAUUCCCAGUGUAGAGGUGAAAUUCGUAGAUAUUGGGAAGAACACCGGUGGCGAAGGCGGCUAUCUGGCCCGUAAUUGACGCUGAGGCGCGAAAGCGUGGGGAGCAAACAGG